GAUGCAGCGAAUAUAAUCGCCGCGUAUAAUUUACCUGCUUUGUAACAAGUGUACCUAGGAGUGCAGAAGAGACCCCAAGAAGAGAGGAUGUCCUAGAAACACCUGGAGGCUUGACUCGGAGUCAGAGUUAAAAACACAGGAUAUGACAAGGCAGGAUGCAGCUAAAGCAGCUCCGAAUUGAGUUCGUUGGAGGACUGUCGUCGAUGGCCUAUGUUCCUCAUAGAAUGACAGGCCGAAGUAAGUACAUGAAAAGAGUGCUCUUUCAACACUGCAUGGCAAUAUAAACAGUAUAUGCCUCAAAUUUUGAAGAAUCCUCAAUUCAAAUCCAGACUGCGGCAGCCCUACCACGUAGCUGUUGGACUCGUAUGGGAUAACAAUAAUCAAAAGUCACGAUAUCCACGCAUGGAUUUUAUCUCAUCUUGAGUAAUUGUAGAGAAAUCAUAUACAGUCUAUUUUGUGACAGAAACUGAAAGAGAGAGGGCUUUACAUUGUCCUUUUGAAUUUGCUAGGACAUUUUUUAUGAACUUUAUAAUACCGCUCAUGUACAUAUUUUUGUUGAAAGAUAAAGUACACUUAUUAACACCAAAAUACUGAUUAGGCCAUUCCAAUUUUUAUACGCCCGUCUUAAGACGGGACGUAUUAUGUUAUAGGCUUCGUGUCCGUCCGUCUGUCUGUCUGUUAGCUUUUCUCGUGUCCAGCUCAUAACUUUAAUACUAUUAGGCCUAAAGUUAUCAAUCUUUGUCAGCUGAUACAUCUUGGGUAGAAGGUGUGUUGUGCACAAAAAGUAGGUCAAUCUGACCUUUAAUAAAGAUGCUAUAGCCAAAUAUGGAAAAAUCCUGUCCGGCUCAUAACUAGAAAACUAUGAGACCUAGAGCUUUCAAACUUGGCAAAAGUAUACAGCUAAAGUAGAAGGUGUGUCGCGGCCUAUUUCAAGGUCACUGUGACCUUUAUUUAAGUGAUUUUUUUUUAAAAACCAAGUCUUUUAAAUUUUAAAUUUCAUAAUCCUAAAAAAUGUAAAAAUGUAGUUGUAUCCUUAUUAAAAAAUGUUAAAUUAAGUAAAAACUUAUUUUUUCAUUAUAUACUUUACAGCAAUCUGUAAUAAAUGUUUAUGCUUUGAGAGGAAUUCAGUUUGUGCCAUGGGCAUAAUUAUCAAGCACUGGUCAAGAAGAAUUUUGAUAACAGAAAGUUGCAUGUCAAAUUAGAGAGAAAUGAAUGAGUUUAUUGUCAGGAGUUAAGAGCAUCUCUAGAACUGAUGCAGCUGUUAUCUUAAUUUAUCUCUUGGGAGUUG